rnacentral:rRNA from 1 species
UGAAUACGAGAUGCUACGGCGUCGAAGCAGUGUAUGUCAGACUUCCAAGAAAAGCUCGCAAUGUCAUAAAUAAAGAAUGCCUGUACCAUAACCGACACAGGUGGGUAGGUAGAGUAUACUAAGGGGCGCGAGAUAACUCUCUCUAAGGAACUCGGCAAAAUAACUCCGUAACUUCGGGAGAAGGAGUGCCUUCUUUAAGAAGGUUGCAAUAACAAGAUCCAAGCAACUGUUUAUCAAAAACACAGGUCUCCGCUAAGUCGUAAGACGAUGUAUGGGGGCUGACGCCUGCCCAGUGCCAGAAGGUUAAAGAAGCUGGUUAGCAAUAGCGAAGCUGGUGACUGAAGCCCUGGUGAACGGCGGCCGUAACAAUAACGGUCCUAAGGUAGCGAAAUUCCUUGUCGGGUAAGUUCCGACCCGCACGAAAGGCGUAAUGAUUUGGAUACUGUCUCGGAGAGGGACUCGGUGAAAUAGACUUGUCUGUGAAGAUGCGGACUACCUGCACCAGGACAGAAAGACCCUAUGAAGCUUUACUGUAACCUGAAAUUGAAAUUGGACUUUAUUUGCGCAGUAUAGGUGGGAGGCGUUGAAAGUAAUCUUGCGGGAUUAGUGGAGCCAUCAGUGAGAUACCACUCCUAUAAUAUUAGAUUUCUAACUUUGGAUCAUGAUCUGGUCAAAGAACAGUUUCAGGCGGGCAGUUUGACUGGGGCGGUCGCCUCCCAAAUGGUAACGGAGGCGUACAAAGGUUUCCUCUGAACGGGUAGAAAUCGUAUCUAGAGUGUAAAGGCAUAAGGAAGCUUGACUGUGAGACCUACAAGUCGAGCAGGGACGAAAGUCGGUCUUAGUGAUCUGACGGUGCUGAGUGGAAAGGCCGUCACUCAACGGAUAAAAGUUACUCUAGGGAUAACAGGCUGAUCUCCCCCAAGAGUUCACAUCGACGGGGAGGUUUGGCACCUCGAUGUCGGCUCAUCGCAUCCUGGGGCGGUAGUACGUCCCAAGGGUUGGGCUGUUCGCCCAUGAAAGCGGUACGCGAGCUGGGUUCAGAACGUCGUGAGACAGUUCGGUCCAUAUCCAGUGUAGGCGUUAGAAUAUUGAGAGGAGCCUUCUCUAGUACGAGAGGACCGAGAAGGACAUACCUCUGGUGUACCAGUUAUCGUGCCAACGGUAAACGCUGGGUAGCUAUGUAUGGAGAGGAUAACCGCUGAAAGCAUCUAAGUGGGAAGCCCACCUCAAGAU